UCCCCCAUUUUUUUCGUUUUUUUUCUUCUUCUUUUUCCUUCUCUUUGCUUCUUCCCAUCUACAAAGCAUAAAUCCUCAACUCUUAUAAUGAAUUUAACAUCCUCAAGAACAUAAUUUCUCAUACUUCUACCAAUGCUCUUAGGUAGGAUUUUGGGUUAGGGUUUGUGCUCUAAGGAAGGAAGGAGAAAGGUACCCAUUUCUUGAGAGUUGUUUAUUGAGACUCUUUUAGAUUUGUCAGCUGAGGUCCUGCCGACUACUCUGGAAGUUGUUGGAGAACAAACGUAGUCGAUUCUCCAUAGUUAUUCGCAGGCAGCUGAGUAGCAAGCUAUUAGUAGAUUCAAGUUUCGAUCAUAUUUUGUUUUGGUAGGCCUUUUUGAUCGAUGACCUUUUUUUAAUUUUUGUAAAGUCUAUAGAGUCAUGAUGUAAUUUGCAGUUGUUUUGAGUCUAGAAAGUCUUUUGGGGGAUGUACUGAAUAUUUAGCACAUCAA